GACGAACCGUGCAAACGUUGUUCGGAAUCACUGGGCUUAAAGGGCGCGUAGGCGGGCAAGCAAGUCGAAGGUGAAAUCCCCACGGCUCAACCGUGGAAGUGCCCCCGAUACUGCUUGUCUUGAGGGAGAUAGGGGGCGUGCGAACUUCCGGUGGAGCGGUGAAAUGCGUAGAUAUCGGAAGGAACACCGGUGGCGAAAGCGGCGCGCUGGAUCUCUUCUGACGCUGAGGCGCGAAAGCCAGGGGAGCAAACGGG
rnacentral:rRNA from 1 species